rnacentral:rRNA from 1 species
GUGGGGAAUAUUCCGCAAUGGACGAAAGUCUGACGGAGCAACGCCGCGUGAGUGAUGAAGGUUUUCGGACUGUAAAGCUCUGUUGUUUAGGACGAAAGUGCCUGUUGCAAACAGUUACAGGUAUUGACGGUACUAAACGAGGAAGCCACGGCUAACUACGUGCCAGCAGCCGCGGUAAUACGUAGGUGGCAAGCGUUGUCCGGAAUUAUUGGGCGUAAAGAGCAUGUAGGCGGGAAUCUAAGUCUGUUGUGAAAAUGCGGGGCUCAACCCCGUAGUGCGAUGGAAACUGGGUUUCUUGAGUGCAGGAGAGGAAAGGGGAAUUCCCAGUGUAGCGGUGAAAUGCGUAGAUAUUGGGAGGAACACCAGUGGCGAAGGCGCCUUUCUGGACUGUGUCUGACGCUGAGAUGCGAAAGCCAGGGUAGCGAACGGGAUUAGAUACCCCUGUAGUCC